rnacentral:rRNA from 1 species
CGAACGGGUGAGUAAUGCGUGACCAACCUGCCCCAUGCUCCAGAAUAGCUCUUGGAAACGGGUGGUAAUGCUGGAUGCUCCAACUUGACGCAUGUCUUGUUGGGAAAGUGUUUAGUGGCAUGGGAUGGGGUCGCGUCCUAUCAGCUUGUAGGCGGGGUAAUGGCCCACCUAGGCUUCGGCGGGUAGCCGGCCUGAGAGGGCGGACGGCCACAUUGGGACUGAGAUACGGCCCAGACUCCUACGGGAGGCAGCAGGC